AUACGAAGGGUGCAAGCGUUACUCGGAAUUACUGGGCGUAAAGCGUGCGUAGGUGGUUGUUUAAGUCUGUCGUGAAAGCCCUGGGCUCAACCUGGGAAUGGCGAUGGAAACUGGGCGACUAGAGUGUGGCAGAGGGUAGUGGAAUUCCUGGUGUAGCAGUGAAAUGCGUAGAGAUCAGGAGGAACAUCCGUGGCGAAGGCGACUGCCUGGGCCAACGCUGACACUGAGGCACGAAAGCGUGGGGAGCAAACAGGAUUAGAUACCCUGGUAGUCCACGCCCUAAACGAUGCGAACUGGAUGUUGGGUGCAAUUUGGCACGCAGUAUCGAAGCUAACGCGUUAAGUUCGCCGCCUGGGGAGUACGGUCGCAAGACUGAAACUCAAAGGAAUUGACGGGG
rnacentral:rRNA from 1 species